UCAUAUAUGCAAUAAGUUAUCAUAUGUCAGUAUCUACUCAAUGAGGAAAAAAAGGAAAAUAAAUACAGAAAAAAAUGAAAUAUAUCAUAUUUGUUUUUGAUUUAAGAUUACAAAUGAUUCAUCUUUAUAAAGAUAUAAGCUCGAAAUAUUAUUUUAUUUUUUUAAAAAUCAAGUCAAAAUUAUUACUUUGUGUUCAAAGGGAACAUGUUAUUUUUAUAAUUUUCCUUUUAUUUUUGCAUCUAUGCCUAUAAAAAUGGUUCAGAAUAUUAUGAUAUAUCAGUCAGAAAAUAAAUUAAGUUUUUACAUAAAUAAUAAAACUUACAAAAUUUUUAUUGUAUGUGAAUGUGCCAAGUAUUCGAUAGUUAUCUAAUUUUUUUUCUUUAUUAUGAAUCUAGCUGUUAGUCAUUCUACAUCACCCAAUCAAAAAAAGAUAUCAACUCGAGUAGGAGUAACUUGUUUAAAGACAAAAUAACUUACACCUUUAUUUUUGGUAAGAACUCUUGGACCUUUAUUUUUUAUCGAGCAAAAAAAAAAAUUCAAGAGAUCAAAAUGAAUCCCAAAAAUUUCACCUCAAAGCAUUCCCACAUUUACAUCAUUAACCAUUUUAAGUUAUAUAAAAUUUAACAUUUUAAUAAUCCUAUUAAAUUUCACAAUGAUGUUGGAUUACGAUUGAUUAUUAAAUUUUAUAAUAUUUUAUCUUUGGAUGAACAUGCUCCCUUGGUACUUUUGUCUACUUCAGUAAUGAUAUUUUUCCUUUUUCCUUUUUGUCUGUCUCCUAACCAUUCAUUUAAUCUUAAGAAUUUAAAAUCAAAAGUUGUUUUCGUCAAAUGAAACUUGCGUUCGUGUUACACUAGUUUCCAUCAGCCAGUGACAUCAGCGGACUCAUCAGUGACGAGUCAAUGCACCGGUAGAAACUUCACAGGAUGCAUCCUCGCUUGUCCUACAUGCAAUGGAAGCCGACAACACCCGUGACCACUACUAUUACGUUCCUUCCCUUCACUCCAUCCGCGGUAUAUAUAUAUAUAUAUAUAUAUAUAUAUAUAUAUAUAUAUAUAUAUAUAUAUAUAUAAUUAUUUAUAUAUAAUGUAUAAAAA
rnacentral:lncRNA from 1 species